CCCAGACUCCUACGGGAGGCAGCAGUGGGGGAUAUUGCACAAUGGGGGGAACCCUGAUGCAGCGACGCCGCGUGGGCGAUGGAGUGCUUCGGCAUGUAAAGCCCUUUCAGCAGGGAAGAAAAUGACGGUACCUGACUAAGAAGCCCCGGCUAACUACGUGCCAGCAGCCGCGGUAAUACGUAGGGGGCAAGCGUUAUCCGGAAUUACUGGGGGUAAAGGGAGCGCAGACGGCAGUGCAAGUCUGGAGUGAAAGCCCGUGGCUUAACCACGGGACUGCUCUGGAAACUGUGCAGCUAGAGUGCAGGAGAGGCAGGCGGAAUUCCUAGUGUAGCGGUGAAAUGCGUAGAUAUUAGGAGGAACACCGGUGGCGAAGGCGGCCUGCUGGACUGUAACUGACGUUGAGGCUCGAAAGCGUGGGGAGCAAACAGGAUUAGAUACCCCCGUAGC
rnacentral:rRNA from 1 species